UACAGAGGUGGCAAGCGUUGUUCGGAAUUACUGGGCGUAAAGGGCGCGUAGGCGGCCUUCUAAGUCAGACGUGAAAUCCCCCGGCUUAACCUGGGAACUGCGUCUGAUACUGGGAGGCUUGAGUAUGGGAGAGGGAUGUAGAAUUCCAGGUGUAGCGGUGAAAUGCGUAGAUAUCUGGAGGAAUACCGGUGGCGAAGGCAGCCCCCUGGGCUAGCACUGACGCUCAGGCACGAAAGCGUGGGGAGCAAACAGG
rnacentral:rRNA from 1 species